AAGUGAAUAUCUAAAACAGGUUCUGUUGUAUGAUUAUGGAUCAUAUGACAGUGAAAAGGGAAGUGGGUUAGAAUCCCACGCGGUCCCGCCGCUGUGUAAGAAGAGUCUUUGCAAUAUGCCACUGGGAAACUGGGAAGGCUGCAAAGGCGAUGACGCUUGAGCCAGAAGACCUGCCUGUUUUAUUACACCAUG
rnacentral:ncRNA from 2 species